ACCAGCUCAGGCCUGUGCUGGACCUGUCUGCCUUGGUCCCUGCUGUUGCCAGUGAGUCUGGCUAGGUAUGAUCACAUGAUCAAGUUCUGGCCAAUGAGAAAUAGGAGUAUCCAGGAAUGGGAAGAGACCUGCCCUUCUUUGGCCCUUUGUCCAGCCAGCAGCCUGGAAAGCAGAUGUGAUGGCUGAGCUCUGGCAGCCACGUUGGAGUCUGAGGUGAAGGAACACAUGCUCAGGGAUGUAGAGCAAUGAGCGGGCUGGACCCUGCGUCCCUGGUGACAUGUAUGGCCUUCACCGCAGCCCUAGCUUGCCCACAUCUAGAGUUCUUUUAUGGGAAAGAAAAAACACACAUUUACCUUGUUUAAGCACUGCAGUUUUGAGCUUUGCUGUUAUAGGCAGUCAACCCUAGUCAAAGCUGAUAUAGUGGGGAAGAAGUCUUGAAGAAGAGAGACCAACACGAAAACCAGAGGAGUGAUCAGGCCGAAAGACUGCAUGUGCUUUGGGUGGCUCACAUGGGACCAGUGGAUGACCGGCUGGGUCAGGACCUGACUCUGGAUGCAAGGUCUCCUGUACUAAGGAGUCUUCAAUUUUUCUCAGUGUCUUUUUGUCAUCCUUGGAGAUGAGCUUGUGGCCCUUCUUCCUUGAGCUACUGAUGGAACAGGCCGUGG